rnacentral:snRNA from 1 species
AUACCUUUCUCGGCCUUUUGGCUAAGAUCAAGUGUAGUAUCUGUUCUUAUCAGUUUAAUAUCUGAUACGUGGGGCAAUGCCUCACACGAUAUUAAAUUAAUUUUUGAUAAGGGGAGGGUCCACCACAAUAGCUUGCUAUUGGGACCUUCAUGAGUCGCCCAUGCGUUGCACUACUGCAAGGGCCUGGCUCACUCCAC